CUGUCGACAUCUGUUUACCUCGCCUCUGGUCCGCCUUUAUCAGAUACACCGAUGUGAUUGGUGCAGCUCAGCUACAAGGGCAUAGUCAAUGAGCAGCCUUACUCAA